CCCACCGGGUAAACCGGGUAAGGCCCCUCGGAGACGACGAGGUAGAUCGGCCCGAGGUGGAAGCGCGGCGACGCGCGGAGCUGACGGGUACGAAUUGGCCGAGGCCUUGCGAG
rnacentral:rRNA from 1 species